UACGUAGGGGGCUAGCGUUGUCCGGAAUCAUUGGGCGUAAAGCGCGCGUAGGCGGUCAGGUAAGUCCGGUGUGAAAGUCAAAGGCUCAACCUUUGAAUGCCGCUGGAUACUGCCUGACUUGAGUCCGGAAGGGGCGAGUGGAAUUCCUGGUGUAGCGGUGAAAUGCGCAGAUAUCAGGAGGAACACCAAUGGCGAAGGCGACUACCUGGCCUGUUCUUGACGCUGAGGCGCGAAAGCUAGGGGAGCAAACGGG
rnacentral:rRNA from 1 species